rnacentral:rRNA from 1 species
UACGUAGGGCGCAAGCGUUGUCCGGAAUUAUUGGGCGUAAAGCGCGUGUAGGCGGCCUCUUCAGUCUGGUGUGAAAGCCCGGGGCUCAACCCCGGAAGUGCAUUGGAUACUGGGAGGCUGGAGUACCGGAGAGGAGGGUGGAAUUCCUGGUGUAGCGGUGAAAUGACGUAGAUAUCAGGAGGAACACCUGUGGCGAAGGCGGCCCUCUGGACGGAUACUGACGCUGAGACGCGAAAGCGUGGGGAGCGAACAGG